UACGUAGGGUGCGAGCGUUAAUCGGAAUUACUGGGCGUAAAGGGUGCGCAGGCGGUUGAGUAAGACAGAUGUGAAAUCCCCGAGCUUAACUCGGGAAUGGCAUAUGUGACUGCUCGACUAGAGUGUGUCAGAGGGAGGUGGAAUUCCACGUGUAGCAGUGAAAUGCGUAGAUAUGUGGAAGAACACCGAUGGCGAAGGCAGCCUCCUGGGAUAUAACUGACGCUCAGGCACGAAAGCGUGGGGAGCAAACAGG
rnacentral:rRNA from 1 species